UACGUAGGGUGCGAGCGUUGUCCGGAAUUAUUGGGCGUAAAGGGCGCGUAGGCGGUUUGUUAAGUCGGCUGUGAAAGCCCGGGCUCAACCCCGGAGGUCAGCCGAUACUGGCAGACUAGAGUACGGAAGAGGUAGCUGGAAUUCCGGUGUAGCGGUGAAAUGCGUAGAUAUCGGGAGGAACACCUGAGGCGAAGGCGGGCUACUGGGCCGAUACUGACGCUGAUGCGCGAAAGCCAGGGGAGCGAACGGG
rnacentral:rRNA from 1 species